ensembl:lncRNA
GUUCACUAUGACAGAGAAGUCACUCCAAAAUACUUUUACUUUUGCUCUUACAAUCAUAAAAGCUAAAGGAAAACCCACAUGUCCACAGCGAGGCGAACAUAGAGACCUAGUGUUGUUCGAAUGGGCGCACCCAAACCUUCGAGUGGCACGCAAUACAUGACCAUCGCGACUGAAACCGGCAGUGCUGGUUUCAGCUGGGUUUUUUUUUAAGGACGUGUGACGUAACCCGUGUCACAGUUCCUUGCUUGUUUGGGUAUUUCCCAAGAGGAGGUCAGGAUUCCUCCGGUCACUCACAGAAUUAGACUGAGGAGGACCUAGUCUCUUUACAUUAGAUAACCUGCCUCCCACACUCCCACCCUUACUGCAGUGCGGCCGCAGGCCUUUUCAAACCCCCCUCCUGCUCUAGAAAUAGCGUGUUCUGCACACACCAACGUGAAAAUAUAAAGCAUGACUAAUUCCCUUUUUUGCACGACGGAAAAACAGCAAAAAAUAACUUGCAACUGCAAAAGGGGAUCACUCUGUGUUCCUUAAAAACAAAAAUGCAACAUAUGAAUUACUUAAUAUGGACUUAUUCAGUGAAUUGUAUAUUUAAGUUAUUAUUAUGAAGUCUUCUUUUUAUAUUAAAAAAUCUUAUUUUGUAAAUGUUCAAUCAUUCUUUCCAUUGAGUAAACUUUAAAUGAGGUGUUUAGCUCAGGAUGAGAGAGCUAUAGAUAGGAGGCGACAGUCAAACAGAUUAGCCUCUGUGACAUCAUCAGCGGCUGUAUUUUCACAGAAGGAUUUCUAUCGGGCUUUCCGUCUUAUUACGGUCAACCAAUCCCAUUAGAAGGAAGCUAUGCCUUGCUCUGCAUGCAUGGCCUGCUUUCAUUAUUUACUUGUUAUGUUCUACAGUGUUUUGCAAUCAUAGGAAGACGGGUCACAUAUUUGACAUCGAUUCAUUUCCUGUUCAGCCAGAAAACACAUUCAGAGUCUGAAUGAAUCCCCCCAGCUUGCUGCUGUAUAGUAAAAUUGCUUAGUAAAUAGUGAGCUUUGAAUAAAUGAACGCAUUCAUCAAAUGUCACGAUGUAGACAAAAUAAUCGAGCAAUUACACAAACAAAUUAGUUUUUAGCAUUUAUACUUUUUUUAGUAUAAAGUAGUACGUCUUUACCUCCGCGAAUAGUAAAUCUACCGCCCCCAACUGCUGCAUGUUAAUAUUAACCUCCAGUUUCACUCGUCCCCAUUCAUGUUUUUCCGAUCCUCCCCGUCUGGUCCCUAGUUCAGGUUACACACCACGGAACAUCCCGAUAAAAGAAUGGGAACGGGAGGAAUUCCCUCCACACGCCCCAGCGGGAAAAGACCCUGGACCCCAGAGUUCCUGUUUGAAACGUAAAACCUAAUGCUUUUGACACACACAAACACACACCCACCCACACACACACACACACACUUACAGAGGCACACACACACACACACACACGUAACAGCACACACACAAACCAGCACACAGACACACACCCACACACACUUACAGGGGCACCACACACACACACACACACACACGUAAAAGCACACACACAAACCAGCACACAGACACACACGUACAAGCAUAAACACGCACAAGCACAAACGUGCACCAGCAUACACCGAGACGCACACACACACAUAAACACACACACCGACACAUACACACACCGACACACACAAAAACACACACACACAGAGAGGAUCCUACCGUUGGGUGAGCCAGUCGGGUCUUUGAGUUCUUUCUGCGCCUCCUCGAUUUUAUCUGCAACACAAGAACACAGGAGGGCAUGUUGUCACAAGGCAGCACUGGAGCAGGAGGAGGAGAAGGAGACAGACGUCCGCCAGACAGGAGGAGGAGAGGAGGACAGGAGGGGAGGAGGGGAGGAGGGGAGGAGGAGAGGAGGGGUGUUCUCAGCAGCUGAGUGCAGGCAGGAGAUGCUUCCCACUCGGAGGGUUGGAAGGGCUAAUGUGAACCAGACCUCCUCCUCCUCCACCACCUCCUCCUCUGUGCUGCUGGAGGGACGGAAGCGACAGAGCGCCAUGGAAACUAACCGGAGCACUGCACACACACGCACACACACACACACACACACACACACACACACACACACACACGUGCAUGCACAGACACACACAAACAAAUGUGCCUGCACAAACACACACACAUGGCUUCACACUUGCACAUGCACGCAAACACACAGACAAACAAACACUGGACUACAAAACAAGUAUGUCAACAUCACAAUUACACUAACACCACACGCGUGUGUCUGGGGUGGGUCUUUAUUUUCUUCCCUAAUUAAGAAAUAUUGUAUGACAAACCCAAUGGAUCAAUAGACACAGGAUCAAUGGUGUGUCAUUAUUAAAGUGGAACUUAACGGGCCUACACACACAUACUUUAAAUUAGGACACAAUCCCCUCAUGAUUAACGAAUGUGAUGGGACAAGCGAACGCUGACAGAUCAAUAACAGAUUCACUCAUUCAUUCCUUAUUGCUCUGGAGUUUAUUGGCCACCCGCAUGUGCACACACACACACACACACGCACAAAUCAUGACAUCAUCUUCUAAUACACAAAACGACGAAACACCUCCACAUAUGGUUCCCACAUUACCGCUGUGACCACCUGAUUACGUUUAAAUCUAUGUUGACAUGUUCUCUUGUUCGCCCGCGGGGAGCAGGUGAAUGAGGCGAGGAGGAGAGAGAGAGAGAGAAGGAGAACUCUGUGGGCCUGCCCCUGCUUCAAUUAUAUAAGCAUGUUCAAUGUGACAUGAUGCUGCGUGUGGAACACGUCAGAGAGAGGGAGAGCGAUAGAGAGGGUGUGGGAAGAUAGAACGCUGAAAGGGAGCAGAGAGGAGAGGAAAGAUAGGAAAGAGGAGAAGGAAGAGAAAGACGAAAAAAUGAGGGGGGGAAGUGAGGAGAUGCUAUAUAUAAUACAUAUAUAAAUAUGAGAGAGAGAGCAAGAGCGAGAGAGACGCUUUCACAGGCUGGCUGUGGGAGGAGGCAUGAGGGCCCACGUGCACACUCUUGGUUAGUGUGUGUGUGUGUGUGUGUGUGUGUGUGUGUGUGUGUGUGUGUGUGUGUGUGUGUGUGUGUGUGUGUGUGUGUGUGUGUGUGUGUGGUUUGUCUGCGUGUCAUUACACAUGCAUGCACCUGUGUCUACUUGCUCAUGGAAAAACACAAACAAACACACACGCACGCAAACACAAACUCGGACACACACCCCACACACACACACAUGGGUGGUCAGUACAAGGCAGAGCCUCUGAUACAUAGAGUCCCCCCCCCCCACCCACCCACGGAAACUCCAGGAUAUGGAAAAACAGACCCGCUUUACACAAAGAAAACCCUACACAGUCUGGUCCAGGUCUGGUCCAAGUCUGGUUUUAAUCUGGUCCCAGUCUGGUCCCUGCCUGGUUUCAAUCUGGUCCCAGUCUGGUCCCUGCCUGGUUUCAAUCUGGUCCCAGUCUGGUCCCAGUCUGGUCCCGGUCUGGUCCCAGUCUGGUUUCAAUCUGGUCCCAGUCUGGUUUCAAUCUGGUCCCAGUCUGGUCCCAGUCUGGUUUCAAUCUGGUCCCAGUCUGGUUUUAGUAGGGUCCCUGCUAGCUCCCUGCUAUCUCCCUGCUAGUUCUCUGUUAGCUCCCUGCUGUCUCCCUGCUAGCUCUCUGUUAGCUCCUUGUUAGCUCCCUGGUAGUUCUCCCAGUUCAAUCCCAUCCAGGACGCCCCCCUUGUGGGAUUUUCCUCAUUUUUUUCAGAUCCUUAAUGUGCUGCCGGGAAUAGAGGGGGGGUUUGGGGAGGGGAGCCCGGGAACGAGGUCAGUGGGUGAUGUCAUCCUGAGAGUGUGUUGGUGGAAUCACACCCUGGACUGUGUGUGUGCGUGUGCACGUGCGUGUCUCUCCCCUGUGGGUGUACAUGCGUGUGUACACUACACCUCUCUCUCUCUCUCUCUCUCUCGUGCACACGCCACAGAUUACAUAACGCCUCCCAAGCCCUGCGACGCAGCUCAGCUAAACAAAGACGCCCCAGCCUCUGCAGAAACACAGCGAGCACCACACAAGCUUCAGUGUGUGGGUGUGUGCGAGUGUGCAUCUCUGCCUUUGUGCAUGUGUGUUUGAGUGUGUUUGUCCGUGGGGGUUUCAGUUGUGUGUGUGGGUGGGUGCACAGUGUCUGUACAGCGUGUGUGUGUGUGUGUGUUUGUGUUUGUGUGUCAGGUUUUUUUCAGUCUUAAUUUGUACAUGUUUAUGUCUCAGUGUGUGUGUGUGUGUGUGUGUGUGUGUAUUCAUGUUGUCAUGUCUCUGUGUGUGCAUGCUCUUUUUGAGUAUUGUCUAUAUCGAUAACAUGUCCAAGUGUGCAGUGUGUUUGUGUGCACAUGUUUAUGUGGUUAUUUGAGAGAGUGUGCGUGUGUGUGUGUAUGCGUGUGUGAGUUGCAGCCCGGUGGUGUAGCAUGAGAAAGCCUCUACCUAAUCUACAACUACACACAGAGAUGAUGCAUGACCAGUGUGCGAGUGUGUGUGCAUGUGCGCGCGCGUGCGUGUGUAUAUCUGUGUGUGCUUGUGCGUGUGUGUGUGUCUGUGCGUGUGUGUGCGUGCGUGAAUAUCUGUGUGUGCUUGUGCAUGUGCGUGUGUGCAUGUGUGUGUGUGCGCGCGCGUGCGUGUGUGUGGUUGUGUGUGCGUGUGUGUGUUGUCCUGGCAGAGAAAGCAUGAGGGCUUGACAUGGCUCCAAGAAGCCAAGUAUAGGUGCCCCGUGCUGGGCCGAGUCCCAGUGCUCUGCCCCUCUGCCUGGCUCUCAGCACCCGGGUGGGGAGGGCCUUCUAGCGGUGGUUAGGGGGUUCGGACUCUCAGUCUAACGGUUCUGGGGUCUGUAUUCACUGUCUAGCCCCGACCUGCUCCUUAAUGACCUGUCUCUGUAUUCACUGUCUAACCCCUACCUGCUCCUUGAUGUUCUGUCUCUGUAUUCACUGUCUAACCCCUACCUGCUCCUUAAUGACCCGUCUCUGUAUUCACUGUCUAACCCCUACCUGCUCCUUGAUGUUCUGUCUCUGUAUUCACUGUCU